rnacentral:rRNA from 1 species
UACGUAGGGGGCAAGCGUUGUCCGGAUUUAUUGGGCGUAAAGAGCUCGUAGGCGGCUUGUCGCGUCGUCUGUGAAAUCCCGCGGCUCAACUGCGGGCUGGCAGUCGAUACGGGCAGGCUGGAGUUCGGUAGGGGAGACUGGAAUUCCUGGUGUAGCGGUGAAAUGCGCAGAUAUCAGGAGGAACACCGAUGGCGAAGGCAGGUCUCUGGGCCACUACUGACGCUGAGAAGCGAAAGCAUGGGGAGCGAACAGG